CCAGUGAGUUUCCUUCCUCACUGGAGCUGCGAUAUGAAGACCAGGGUGCAAAACUUGGAUUGGAAACUCCACAUAAGGAGGAAGCACAAGAUGAUGCCUUGGAUUUAGCCGGCCCACAUGAGUGAUAUGAAUAAGACACUGGACGAAAUACACACUUCUGGAAGCCUCGGAGAGAAAGCAGAGAUUUUUCAGAGUGGCAAGGGUAAUGUGAGUGGCUUUCCCAGCCCAGCCCUCAUCCCGUUGCAAGACCCUUUCCUGACACCAAAUGCCCAGAAGACCAGGACUAAGCCCUGCAAGGGGACCAGGAGCACCAAAGAGGGAGAGGAGUCCUUCUCUUCCCCUGUUCCAAACCCUUUUCCUGAGCUUCUCCCCUCAACCCUCGCCCCCCUCGUCUCUGAAUGUUUAUUACCAUGGACCAAAAGUAGUGCAUC